rfam:Myotis brandtii contig300100, whole genome shotgun sequence.
UGUGGUUCUCGGAUGAUGCACCCUGGAAUCGGGCUCCCUCCUCUCUGGUUCCCAGUGUUUCACCCGAGAACUGCA